rnacentral:lncRNA from 1 species
UCUGAGGACAUGUGAUGUACCGAGCCAAGCUCUAUUUCUGGCAUCUCAGAAACUGUCAGGCAGCAGCUGGAGUCUCUGCAAUGGUCUCCCCACCCCUCAGGAAUAACCCUGCCUCUCUGCAGAUGGCCUCUCAGACCUGCCUUCACAGGAGGGAGGCCUACGUUAGAUUCAUCUUGGAGGAUUAGCAGCAGCAAGAGCCUAUGGAGGCAGGGAAGAAGCCUCUAUCAAGUGGUGGUGUUUGCUUUUGCAGUUCUCUAAUAAAAAUGAAGUUUUCCAUCUCUAACAAAAUACCAAUGACAUUCUUCGCAGAAAUAGAAAAAACAAUUCUAAAAUUUAUAUGGAACCCCAAAAGACCCAGAAUCUCUAAAGCUAUCCUAAGCAAAAGGAACAAAACUGGAGGAAUGACAUUACCUGACUUCAAAUUAUACUACAGAGCUAUAGUAACCAAAACAGCAUGGUACUGGCAUAAAAACUGACACAUAGACCAAUGGAACAGAAUAGAGAAACCAGAAACAAAUCCACACAUCUACAAUAAACUCAUUUUCAACAAAGGUGCCAAGAACAUACACUAGGGAAGAGACAGUCUUCAAUAAAUGUUGCUGGGAAAACUGGAUAUCCAUAUGCAGAAGAAUGAAACUAGACUCUUAUCUCUCACCAUAUAUAAAAAUCAAAAAAUGGAUUAAAGACUUAAAUCUAAGACCUCAAACUAUGAAACUAAUAUAAAAAAACAUUGGGGAAAAUCUCCAGGGCAUUGUUCUGGGCAAAGAUUUCUUGAGUAAUACCCCACAAGCACAGGAAACCAAAGCAAAAAUGGACAAAUGGGACCACAUCAAGUUAAAAAGCUUCUGCACAGUGAAGGAUACAAUCAACAAAGUGAAGCGACAACCCACAGAAUGGGAGGCAAUAUUUGCAAACUACCCAUCUGACAGGGGACUAAUAACCUGAAUAUAUAAGGGUCUCAAACAACUCUAGGAAAAUGUCUAAUAAUCUGAUCAAAAAUGGGCAAAAGACUUGAAUAGACAUUUCGCAAAAGAAGACACAUGAAUGACAAACAGGCAUACGAAAAUGUGCUUAACAUCAUUGAUCAUCAGAGAAAUGCAAAUCAAAACUCCAAUGAGAUAGCAUCUCAUCUCAGUUAAAAUAGCUUAUAUCCAAAAGACAGAUAAUAACAAAUGCUCUUCGGAAUGUGGAGAAAAGGGUGGGAAUGUAAAUUAGUACAGCUACUGUGGAGAACAGUUUGGAGGUUCCUCAAAAAACUAAAAAUAGAGCUGCUAUAUGAUCCAGCAAUCCCACUGCUGGGUGUAUUCCCAAAAGAAAGAAAAUCAGUGUAUCAAAGAGAUAUUGGCACUCCUAUGUUUGUUACAGUACUGUUUACAAUAGCCAAGAUUUGGAAGCAACCUAAGUGUCCAUCAACAGAUGAAUAGAUAAAGAAAAUGUGGUACAUAAACAUAAUAGAGUACUAUUCAGCCAUAAAAAAGAAUGAGAUCCUGUCAUUUGCAACGACAUAGAUAGAACUGGAGGUCUUUACGUUAAGUGAAAUAAGGCAGGCACAGAAAGACAAAUAUCACAUGUUCUCACUUAUCUGUGGGAUCUAAAAAAACAAUUGAAGUCAUGGAAAUAGAGAAUAGAAGGAUGGUUACCAGAGGCUAGGAAGGGUAGGUGGGGGAGGUUGUGGAGGGGAGGUGGGGAUGGUUAAUGGGUACAAAAAAAAAUAGAAAGAAUGAAUAAGACCUACUAUUUGAUAGCAAAAAUAGGGUGACUAUAGUCAAUAAUUACUUAAUUGUACAUUUUAAAAUAACUUAAAGAGUAUAAUUUGAUUAUUUGUAACUCAAAGGAUAAAUGUUUGAGUGGAUGGAUACCCCAUUCUCCAUGAUGUGCUUAUUUCACCUCACAUGCCUGUAUCAAAACAUCUCAGAUAACCCAUAAGUAUAUACACCUACUAUGUACCCACA